rnacentral:rRNA from 1 species
UACGUAGGGUGCGAGCGGUAAUCGGAAUUACUGGGCGUAAAGCGUGCGCAGGCGGCUUGGCAAGACAGAUGUGAAAUCCCCGGGCUCAACCUGGGAACUGCAUUUGUGACUGCAAGGCUAGAGUACGGCAGAGGGGGAUGGAAUUCCGCGUGUAGCAGUGAAAUGCGUAGAUAUGCGGAGGAACACCAAUGGCGAAGGCAAUCCCCUGGGCCUGUACUGACGCUCAUGCACGAAAGCGUGGGGAGCAAACAGG